rnacentral:rRNA from 1 species
GAAUGCGCCCUUAGAGUUUGAUCCUGGCUCAGGAUGAACGCUGGCGGCAGGCCUAACACAUGCAAGUCGAACGGUAACAGGAAGAAGCUUGCUUCUUUGCUGACGAGUGGCGGACGGGUGAGUAAUGUCUGGGAAACUGCCUGAUGGAGGGGGAUAACUACUGGAAACGGUAGCUAAUACCGCAUAACGUCGCAAGACCAAAGAGGGGGACCUUCGGGCCUCUUGCCAUCGGAUGUGCCCAGAUGGGAUUAGCUUGUUGGUGGGGUAACGGCUCACCAAGGCGACGAUCCCUAGCUGGUCUGAGAGGAUGACCAGCCACACUGGAACUGAGACACGGUCCAGACUCCUACGGGAGGCAGCAGUGGGGAAUAUUGCACAAUGGAGGAAACUCUGAUGCAGCAACGCCGCGUGAGCGAUGAAGGUCUUCGGAUCGUAAAGCUCUGUCUUUAGGGAUGAUAAUGACAGUACCUAAGGAGGAAGCCACGGCUAACUACGUGCCAGCAGCCGCGGUAAUACGUAGGUGGCGAGCGUUAUCCGGAUUUAUUGGGCGUAAAGGGAGCGUAGGCGGAUACUUAAGUGGGAUGUGAAAUACUUGGGCUCAACCCGAGUACUGCAUUCCAAACUGAGUAUCUAGAGUGCAGGAGAGGAGAGUGGAAUUCCUAGUGUAGCGGUGAAAUGCGUAGAGAUUAGGAAGAACACCAGUGGCGAAGGCGACUCUCUGGACUGUAACUGACGCUGAGGCUCGAAAGCGUGGGGAGCGAACAGGAUUAGAUACCCUGGUAGUCCACGCCGUAAACGAUGAAUACUAGGUGUAGGGGUUUCGAUACCUCUGUGCCGCCGCUAACGCAUUAAGUAUUCCGCCUGGGGAGUACGGUCGCAAGAUUAAAACUCAAAGGAAUUGACGGGGACCCGCACAAGCAGCGGAGCAUGUGGUUUAAUUCGAAGCAACGCGAAGAACCUUACCUACACUUGACAUCCCUUGCAUUACCCUUAAUCGGGGAAAUCUCUUCGGAGACAAGGUGACAGGUGGUGCAUGGUUGUCGUCAGCUCGUGUCGUGAGAUGUUGGGUUAAGUCCCGCAACGAGCGCAACCCCUAUUGUUAGUUGCUACCAUUAAGUUGAGCACUCUAGCGAGACUGCCUGGGUUAACCAGGAGAAAGGUGGGGACGACGUCAAAUCAUCAUGCCCCUUAUGUGUAGGGCUACACACGUGCUACAAUGGCAGGUACAGAGAGACGCAAGACCGUGAGGUGGAGCAAAUCCCAAAAAACCUGUCCCAGUUCGGAUUGAAGGCUGAAACUCGCCUUCAUGAAGCCGGAGUUGCUAGUAAUCGCGAAUCAGAAUGUCGCGGUGAAUACGUUCCCGGGUCUUGCACACACCGCCCGUCA